rnacentral:rRNA from 1 species
UACAGAGGUCUCAAGCGUUGUUCGGAUUCAUUGGGCGUAAAGGGUGCGUAGGUGGCGCCAUAAGUCAGGGGUGAAAUUUCGGAGCUUAACUCCGAAACUGCAUUUGAUACUGUGGUGCUUGAGGACUGGAGAGGAGACUGGAAUUUACGGUGUAGCAGUGAAAUGCGUAGAGAUCGUAAGGAAGACCAGUGGCGAAGGCGGGUCUCUGGACAGUUCCUGACACUGAGGCACGAAGGCCAGGGGAGCAAACGGG